CUCCCUCUAGUGUGUGUGGUCCGUUACAGGGCCAAGGCUGGGUCAUACAGGCUGUAGAACAGUGGAUAGCCUCCCCUCAGGCCUCUCAACCCCACUCUGCCUGGCUGGCAUGGAUCAUCAACAUUAUACUACACAGUCAAGUCUUCUACUGCAUCCUAACACUCAUAGUACUGGUGGUGAUGUACUUCCUGUGGCAGGUGACUCAGGGUCGUAAACGUCUCAUCAUGUCUCUACGGGAACAGAUUGUCAACGAGGGGAAGAAUAAAGCCUUUCUCCUCGGGAGGUUACAGUGUCUACAGAGACAGAAGGGAACAGGCAGACCUAGACCACAGGUGCACUUUGAGGAGGAGAGAGAGGAGGAGGAGGAGACAGAC